rnacentral:rRNA from 1 species
GACAGAGGUGCCGAGCGUUAGGCGGAAUCACUGGGCUUAAAGCGUGUGUAGGCGGAUGCCUAAGUACCUUGUGAAAUCCCACGGCUCAACCGUGGAACUGCUUGGUAUACUGGGCGUCUUGAGCCACUUAGGGGCAACCGGAACAAACGGUGGAGCGGUGAAAUGCGUAGAUAUCGGAAGGAACGCCGGUGGCGAAAGCGACACACUGGACCUCUUCUGACGCUGAGGCGCGAAAGCCAGGGGAGCAAACGGG